GUGCCAGCAGCCGCGGUAAUACAGAGGGGGCAAGCGUUAUUCGGAAUUAUUGGGCGUAAAGGGCGCGAAGGCGGUCGUGCAAGUGGAAGCAGAAAUCCCUCGGCUCAACCGAGGAACUGCCUUUCAAACUGCUUGACUUGAGUCCGGGAGAGGUCAGUGGAAUUCCCAGUGUAGCGGUGAAAUGCGUUGAUAUUGGGAGGAACACCAGUGGCGAAGGCGGCUCACUGGACCGGAACUGACGCUGAGGCGCGAAAGCGUGGGGAGCAAACAGGAUUAGAUACCCCGGUAGUCC
rnacentral:rRNA from 1 species